GAUGAACGCUGGCGGCGUGCCUAAUACAUGCAAGUCGAGCGAAUGGAUUAAGAGCUUGCUCUUAUGAAGUUAGCGGCGGACGGGUGAGUAACACGUGGGUAACCUGCCCAUAAGACUGGGAUAACUCCGGGAAACCGGGGCUAAUACCGGAUAACAUUUUGAACCGCAUGGUUCGAAAUUGAAAGGCGGCUUCGGCUGUCACUUAUGGAUGGACCCGCGUCGCAUUAGCUAGUUGGUGAGGUAACGGCUCACCAAGGCAACGAUGCGUAGCCGACCUGAGAGGGUGGUCGGCCACGCUGGGACUGAGACACGGCCCAGACUCCUACGGGAGGCAGCAGUAGGGAAUCUUCCACAAUGGACGAAAGUCUGACGGAGCAACGCCGCGUGAGUGAUGAAGGCUUUCGGGUCGUAAAACUCUGUUGUUAGGGAAGAACAAGUGCUAGUUGAAUAAGCUGGCACCUUGACGGUACCUAACCAGAAAGCCACGGCUAACUACGUGCCAGCCGCCGCCGUAA
rnacentral:rRNA from 1 species